rnacentral:rRNA from 1 species
UACGUAGGGUGCGAGCGUUAAUCGGAAUUACUGGGCGUAAAGCGUGCGCAGGCGGUUUUGUAAGUCUGAUGUGAAAGCCCCGGGCUCAACCUGGGAAUUGCAUUGGAGACUGCAAGGCUUGAAUCUGGCAGAGGGGGGUAGAAUUCCACGUGUAGCAGUGAAAUGCGUAGAGAUGUGGAGGAACACCGAUGGCGAAGGCAGCCCCCUGGGUCAAGAUUGACGCUCAUGCACGAAAGCGUGGGGAGCAAACAGG